GAUCAACGCUGGCGGCGUGCCUAAAACAUGCAAGUCGGACGCUCGGGCUUCGGCUCGGGAGUGGCGGACGGCUGAGUAACACGUGGGCGACCUGCCCAUCGGUGGGGGAUAACCGCCCGAAAGGGUGGCUAAGACCGCAUACGACCCGCGCUUCGGAGGGCGGGUGAAAGCCGAGAGGCGCCGAUGGAGGGGCCCGCGGCCGAUUUGCUAGCUGGCGGGGUAACGGCCCACCAGGGGGACGAGGCGUAGCCGACCUGAGAGGGUGACCGGCCACGCUGGGACUGCGACCCGGCCCAGACUCCUACGGGAGGCAGCAGUAGGGAAUCUUCGGCAAUGGACGCAAGUCUGACCGAGCAACGCCGCGUGAGUGAUGAAGGCUUUCGGGUCGUAAAACUCUGUUGCCAAGGAAGAACGGCAGGGAGAGUAACUGCUCCUUGUUUGACGGUACUUGAGAAGAAAGCCCCGGCUAACUACGUGCCAGCAGCCGCGGUAAGAC
rnacentral:rRNA from 1 species